GGGGGCAUGGCGGAAUCGGUAGACGCACCGGAUUUAAAAUCCGUUGGCACGCAAGUGCUGUGGGGGUUCAAGUCCCCCUGCCCCCA
rnacentral:tRNA from 1 species